UGGUAGAUGCACCCUGGUUUUGGCCUCAGAGACUUGUUUCUGAGGCUUUUUCAU
rnacentral:sRNA from 1 species